UACGUAGGGUGCGAGCGUUGUCCGGAAUUACUGGGCGUAAAGCGUGCGUAGGUGGUUUGUUAAGUCUGUUGUGAAAGCCCCCGGGCUCAACCUGGGAAUGGCAAUGGAUACUGGCAAGCUAGAGUGCGGUAGAGGGUAGUGGAAUUCCCGGUGUAGCGGUGAAAUGCGUAGAGAUCGGGAGGAACACCAGUGGCGAAGGCGGCUACCUGGACCAGCACUGACACUGAGGCACGAAAGCGUGGGGAGCAAACAGG
rnacentral:rRNA from 1 species